CCUACGGGUGGCAGCAGUGGGGAAUAUUGCUCAAUGGGGGAAACCCUGAUGCAGCGACGCCGCGUGUGGGAAGAAGGAUUUAUGAGUGUAAAGCUCUUUUAGGAGAGAAGAAAAUGACGGUACCUGAUUAAUAAGCACAGGCUAACUACGUGCCAGCAGCCGCGGUAAUACGUAGGCGGCAAGCGUUAUCCGGAUUUACUGGGCGUAAAGGGGGCGUAGUGGGUUGAAUAAGUCUGUGGUGAAAUUCCGGGGCUUAACCCGGGAACUGCCUCUAAAACUGUUAAGCUAGAGUGCAGGAGGGGUAAGUGGAAUUCCUAGUGUAGCGGUGAAAUGCGUAGAUAUUAGGAGGAACACCAGUGGCGAAGGCGGCUUACUGGACUGUAACUGACGUUGAGGCACGAAAGCGUGGGGAGCAAACAGGAUUAGAUACCCGAGUAGUC
rnacentral:rRNA from 1 species